UACAGAGGAUGCAAGCGUUAUCCGGAAUGAUUGGGCGUAAAGCGUCUGUAGGUGGCUUUUUAAGUCCGCCGUCAAAUCCCAGGGCUCAACUCUGGACAGGCGGUGGAAACUACCAAGCUGGAGUACGGUAGGGGCAGAGGGAAUUUCCGGUGGAGCGGUGAAAUGCGCAGAUAUCAGGAGGAACACCGGUGGCGAAGGCGGAUCUCUGGGCCGUAACUGACGCUGAGGAGCGAAAGCAUGGGGAGCGAACAGG
rnacentral:rRNA from 1 species